GUGGGGAAUAUUGGACAAUGGGCGCAAGCCUGAUCCAGCAACGCCGCGUGAGGGAUGACGGCCUUCGGGUUGUAAACCUCUUUCAGCAGGGACGAAGCGAAAGUGAUGGUACCUGCAGAAGAAGGACCGGCCAACUACGUGCCAGCAGCCGCGGUAAUACGUAGGGUCCGAGCGUUGUCCGGAAUUAUUGGGCGUAAAGGGCUCGUAGGCGGUCUGUCGCGUCGGGAGUGAAAACUCAGGGCUCAACCCUGAGCGUGCUUCCGAUACGGGCAGACUAGAGGUAUGCAGGGGAGAACGGAAUUCCUGGUGUAGCGGUGGAAUGCGCAGAUAUCAGGAGGAACACCGGUGGCGAAGGCGGUUCUCUGGGCAUUACCUGACGCUGAGGAGCGAAAGCAUGGGGAGCGAACAGGAUUAGAAACCCCGGUAGUCC
rnacentral:rRNA from 1 species